CAAGAGGACACCUUCACUUUCUGGCCUCAUGUCUUGGUCAACUCUCCUGCCCUCUUGUCGCAGAGGGACCUUGAUCGUCUGAUUUUCUACAGAACAUCACACUGGUCCACUUCAUUGAUGGAUUUAUGUUAUUUAAUCAGUGAACAGGGAGUCGCAGGCGCCCUUGAUGAUAACACACGUGUGCCACAGAGUGGAGGAUAAACUGCGUCAUCUACUCCCCAUCCCAUCACACUGGUCUCCUGGCUUAUUACUGGGACCCAGUAAAGUUUGAAUACCUGACCAUGGGACACCAAGAGCGUUGUGACCUGAACUGCACAUCACAUACUGGGUGUAGUCAAGUUACCAAACCACGACGUUGGGCACGCACAGCACCAUCUGCCAUCCGUGGAGAAGUGGCAAGAAGGCAGAUGCGAUGGGAUCUACAGCACCUAAAACCGUGCCUGGCACACAACGGGCAGCUCAUUAGACCUGGAAUGCAGUCACUGAGGUUACUCUGUGCCAACUCUCUCAGCCCUUUGCCUGGACUACCGGAUACGGCCUAGCGACCACGCAGCAGGGUAGGUACUACGAUUGCCAUCACCUCGGCCCCAGGUUUCAGAAGGGGAAACCAGGGCGCAGAAAGAGGGAGAAUUGGGUUUGGAACUGCAAGCGUGAGGGGAACCUGGCAGGAGAUUCAGGGCACAGAAUCCAGGGCAGCGAGACGCAGGACCCCGUGCGGGGGUCUUGCCCUCUUGGGCAGCCCACACACCUACAUCUAUGAGCAGAAGCGUCUCCUGACACACCUCCCCACGAUUACACAGCUGCUCCGUAUUCGUGGACCACGUGACAGGUUUCUGAGCCAGGUCUUGAGAAGUCUGAAGCAUGAUCCCCCGAUGACAGGUCAGCAUAGCUGCGGAGAAAGAAUGGCCAGGGUCUGGGUGAUUCAGGGGCCUGCCUGGUCCUGCGCUUGGGAAGAUGAUCACGUUCUUGACUCACCCUCCAAGCCAUCUAGCUGCUGGGUGCCUCCGCCUCAGAUUAGCAGGGACACAGGAAGUCCGAGCCCCACCCCCAGUUUUUCCCCUGCUCUUGCUGGAAUAUCGAGGGGGCUUUUCCCAACCCCCCUUGGGGACGGCUGCUCCUCCCUUUGGGUGUGAGAGAGAUGGAUGGCUCUUCCUUAGCAUGAGCCAAUCUCUACUUCCCUCUCUGGGCUUCAGGGUCCUUAUUGGAAAAUAAGGAGGGCAGCCUGACACCGCAGAUUUCUUUUAACUGAGAAACCCUAUGUUCCAAACAAAAAUACUCAGACGCUUCGCGCGCCCUGAAUACUUAACUGAGGUGCCCGGCUGCCAUGACUACUUUCCAGGGAUUAACCCGUUUAAGCCUCCCGAGGAGUUGCCUCGCCUGGAUUGGCUCGUUUCCUCCUGGCCCCUGGCCCCCGGCCCGCACCAAGCAGGUGGUGUUAUCCUCGUCAUCCCCAUUUCCUGUUCUUUUCUUUUUUUAAAUGUCUUUAUUCCCCUUGAUCACUCUGCUGGAGCCAAACUGGCCUCUGGAUUCUUCCUUGAACACACGGCGGGCACAUACCAGCCCAGGGCCUUUGUAUACUCUGCGACCCCUGACUGUCUGGGGUUAUCUCCUCCUCCCUGAACUUGCUGAAAGAGGCUCAAAGAGGUGGUAAUCCUCAAACGCUGGUUCAGCGGCAGAGCCCAGACGGAAACCCACGUCUUUCUGACUCACACGCUCAGCUCUUAAAGGCUGUGCUCUCCCUGACUGUGCGACCCACUGCUCUCACUGGGACCACCAUCCUAUUCCUCAGGGGGAGAGUCGAGGCUGUUACAAUCCCAGCCCUUUGGUUCUUCUUUAGUAUGGGCUCCUGUGGUGGUCCAUUUUGCACCCAGUCCUGGCACCCCGUCCUCUCCUUCCCCCACGCCUUCCAGGAGCUGUUCUAUCUCCCUGAGAUGCCCUUCUGUCCUCCACUUACUCCCUGACAUCUCGCUGUACCCCAUCUUUUCAUGCCUGGCCUUGCCGAUGCUCAAUAGAUAUUUGCUAAACUACCGAACUGAACUUAACCAGGGAAGACAAAUGCACCGUCCAAGAUCCGGCUCUGAUGCUGAAAGCCAACAGAAUAUGGACAUAGAUUAGGGAUAUCCAUUUGUGGCCUAAUGGCUGUGUUUUAUGUGACGUGUGUGGUUUGAGAGCGUACAUAUAUGGGAUGUGUGUAGAUGUGUAGUGGGUAUGUGGGGUGUGUGGGGUAGUAUGGGAAUGUGUGAAAUGUAUAUGGUGUGUGUAUGGUAUGUGAUGUGUGGUGUGUGUGUACAGUGAUACAGUGUGUUGGUGAGGUAUGUGGUAUAUGUUUGUUGCAUGGGUGUGGCGUGGUGUGUGUCCCGUGUACCUGUGUUUUGUUUGUGUGUGCUGUCCGCGGCAUGUGAAGUGUGGUCUGUGUGCUGGGUGUGGCAUGUGCUAUAUGUAGUGUGUGAAGUCUGUGGUGUGUGCGGGAUGUGUGAGGUUUAAGGAGGCCCGUGUGCGGUAUGUGAGGUGUGGUGUGUACUUGGCACAGUGUGUGUUUGUGUCUCCUGAGUGUAUUGUGUGCGUUAUGGUGUGUGGUGUGCGUGGCGCACAUCUGAUCUGUUUCGGAAACGCCUUCUGAAUUAUGAAUGUUACCUAGUCCCAGAGACGAAGGCCAGAUAAGUAAACCAGCAUUAAUGAGAAGGAAAGAUUCAGACUCUGUUCUCCUCUGCUCAACACCCUUCCACAGCUCCACUGCCCUCAGCAGAAAGGCCAGCCUCUCAGUCUGGCUGGGCAGACACCUGACCCACCACCAGGACCCCCCGCCUACCUCUCGGCUCCCCCAACAAUAUCCAUUCCCAAGACACAGCAGCGCAUUUCCUGCCUCCUUGGCCUGGCACCCGCUUCCUCCUGGAAAACUUGUGAUCACCCACCACCCCCAGCUGCACCCCAUCCUCUCGAUGAGCCCCUCCUCAGGCAGAGCCAAGGGACCCCUCUUCAAACCAGCAGGCUGCCCCCACCUCCAAGCCUUUGUCCAUGCUGUUUCCUCUGCCUGUUCGUGUCCUUUUCCUCUUCUGUGAAUAAACUGCAGCUCAUCUUUAA